AGGUUGGCUAAUCAAUGAUGGAGAGUGGGAGACACAUCAUCUCGAGAUGUGAAUCCGGGGGUUCGAAUCCCUACCAACUCA
rnacentral:tRNA from 1 species